UACGGGGGGGGAAAGCGUUGUUCGGAAUUACUGGGCGUAAAGGGCGCGUAGGCGGGUGGACAAGUCCCUCGUGAAAGCCCACGGCUCAACCGUGGAAUUGCGGGAGAUACUGUCUGUCUUGAGUCCGGGAGAGGAGGGUGGAAUUCCCAGUGUAGCGGUGAAAUGCGUAGAUAUUGGGAGGAACACCGGUGGCGAAGGAGGCUCUCUGGACCGGUACUGACGCUGAGGCGCGAAAGCUAGGGGAGCAAACGGG
rnacentral:rRNA from 1 species